rnacentral:rRNA from 1 species
CGGAACACGUACACAACCUUCCUUUCGGUGGGGGAUAGCCCAGAGAAAUUUGGAUUAAUACCCCAUAAUAUAUUGUGGUUGCAUAACUGUGAUAUUAAAGAUUUAUUGCCGGAAGAUGGGUGUGCGUAUGAUUAGGUAGUUGGUUGAGGUAACGGCUCACCAAGCCUUCGAUCAUUAACUGGUGUGAGAGCACGACCAGUCACACGGGCACUGAGACACGGGCCCG